rnacentral:tRNA from 1 species
GCAAGAGUGGCGAAAUGGUAGACGCGCUGGAUUUAGGAUCCAGUUCCCGAGAGGGAGUGGGGGUUCAAGUCCCUCCUCUUGUACCA